UACGGAGGAUCCGAGCGUUAUCCGGAUUUAUUGGGUUUAAAGGGAGCGUAGGUGGAUUGUUAAGUCAGUUGUGAAAGUUUGCGGCUCAACCGUAAAAUUGCAGUUGAAACUGGCAGUCUUGAGUACAGUAGAGGUGGACGGAAUUCGUGGUGUAGCGGUGAAAUGCUUAGAUAUCACGAAGAACUCCGAUUGCGAAGGCAGCUCACUGGACUGCAACUGACACUGAGGCUCGAAGGUGUGGGUAUCAAACAGG
rnacentral:rRNA from 1 species